rnacentral:lncRNA from 1 species
AAGACAUUAUUAGAUAGCUGUAUUAUUCUCUCAGCUAUUUAUCUUCUGUUUACUGGUUUGUGUGUGUCUUGUAGGUGCUGGGCGGUGCUGGAAAUCGUCCCACAGACGUCGCUACCAGAGAGGAGGACAACAUCGUCUUCUGAGCCCAACGCUCCCACAGCUCAUGCUGCCUCAUUCCAGUUGUUCUCCAACAUCUCCCUGGAAGAGUCUGAGAAAGCUGGAGAGAUUGCAACCAUUCCACUGACAAAGAUCAUUAAUGAGCAUUACAGCGCAUACUCGUGGGUGGCAGAGCUGAUCCAAGUGUUCACAGCCAUCAGUGUCACCGUCUCCUUCCUGGUUAUGGGAUCAGCCAUGAAACACACCAUUGAUGGUUUAGUGAGCUGUGUGUGGAGCAGUGGGUUGGAGUGUGCGUCCAAAGCCUGGGAGAGGACGUUCCCCAACAAGCAGCACAUCUGCGACGGCAGGAGGGUGGCCAAAGGAUGUGCAUCACUGCUGGGAUUCAUUGUCAUCUUUAUUGUGUCCAUGUGCGACCCAAGGGGCUUCGUUGUGAUGCUGGACAAAGUGGUGUCAUUCUCCCUGAACACUGAGGUGGGCCUGUUUGUCUUCAUCAUGCUGAGAGAGAGCAGAGAGGACAGAUUCCAGCAGCUGUCCGUCCCUCUCCCAGUAGGAGACUUUGUGUUCAGCCUCAGUUGGCUGCUGCCCACCUACUUCCUGUUUGCAGUGACCUAUGACGUGCUGCAGACCGUCGCUGACGUCACUCACUCUUCUUCUUUCUACUAUCAGGAGACACAUCUGCACAACCUGAGCAGCCUGACACCAUCGAACCUCUCCAUCCUGCUCUGACAUCACCAUCUUCACUUAUUUACAGAGAUUACUGUAGGAGCAUUUAUCAGCAGCAGGGGGCGCACUUCUACUGAUCUCAUUGAUCGCAUGUGUGAGCAAAGUAGAGAACUGCAAAGUCUUUGGAAUAUGUUCUCAAAUGUCAGAUAGAAAGAAAGUUACAGUCACUUUUCCUUUAUUUAGUUACAACCAAACAAAUGCCAGAGAGGAAUGUUUAGAGCUCUUGUUACACUAAGACUCAGGCUGCAUCCGAAUAGUUCCUUCUAUCUCUUUUCCUAUGCACUUUUCCAUAACCCUGUGGAUGGCGUCACGGGGUUAAGGAAAGGUGUUAGGAGAGGUGUUAGUAAAUGGCCAUCACGUUUGUUUUGACAAUCAGACACACUUCCACUAGGUGACAUAAUAAUCUGUUAGCCGCAAAGGUUAGUGACGUCUGCCGUGGUGAAAAAACUACAAAUUUACGAAAAUGGACUAAAAGCACAUUUAUAACACUUUCCCCUGAUAUAAUCUAAAAAAUCACAAGGUUUGAAUGUAAAUCAAAGGAAAAGAGUCUACCAGGCUAUGAGGAACAAAAGUUUAAUUAAAAGAACGUCACAUUGAGAAUGGUUGCUCACGCUAACCUUCCACUCAGAAAUAUGAAUUAUGUUGAAUAAAACAUAAUGUGGCUAAAAAUGUCUCUGAUUC